rnacentral:rRNA from 1 species
GCUUGUCUCAAAGAUUAAGCCAUGCAUGUCUAAGUACAAGCCUCAGUAAGGUGAAACCGCGAAUGGCUCAUUAAAUCACACCUAAUCUACUGGAAAGUUACUAGUUACUUGGAUAACUGAGGUAAUUCUUGAGCUAAUACAUGCGUCAAGACCCGACUUUUUGGAAGGGUUGUAUUUAUUAGAUAAAGAACCAAUCCAUGCUUGCAUGGUUUUGUGGUGAUUCAUAAUAACUGAUCGAAUCGCAUGCCUUCGGGCGGCGAUGUAUCAUUCAAGUUUCUGACCUAUCAGCUUCCGACGGUAGGGUAUUGGCCUACCGUGGCAAUGACGGGUAACGGGGAAUUAGGGUUCGAUUCCGGAGAGGGAGCCUGAGAAACGGCUACCACAUCUAAGGAAGGCAGCAGG